rnacentral:tRNA from 1 species
GCAGAGGUGGUUCAGUGGUAGAAUUCUCACCUUCCACGCAGAAGGCCCGGGUUUGAUUCCCAGCUACUGCA